UGGGGCCUGGCCGUAGGCAUUUUCAAUCAGGCAUUGGCGCGGUCAGCCUCGCGGUCCGGGCCACGCCCUCACGCCAUCGACACCCGGGGUCCUUUCGUGCGCGUUGAUAUGAUUGGCCGGCGAAAAGUUGUUCUCUUUUCCUCCCUGACUGCCUGAGGAUCGCCGGCCAUCAUGAACGACACGGUAACUAUUCGGACCAGGAAAUUCAUGACCAACCGUCUGCUUCAACGGAAACAAAUGGUCAUCGAUGUCCUUCACCCUGGGAAGGCAACAGUACCUAAGACAGAAAUUCGGGAAAAACUAGCCAAAAUGUACAAGACAACACCAGAUGUCAUCUUUGUAUUUGGAUUCAGAACUCAUUUUGGUGGUGGCAAGACAACUGGCUUUGGCAUGAUUUAUGAUUCCUUGGAUUAUGCAAAGAAAAAUGAACCCAAACAUAGGCUUGCAAGACAUGGCCUGUAUGAGAAGAAAAAGACCUCAAGGAAGCAGCGAAAAGAACGCAAGAACAGAAUGAAGAAAGUCAGGGGGACUGCAAAAGCCAAUGUUGGUGCUGGCAAAAAGAAGAAAUGAAGUGUCUAUAGCAGUGAGCUGGAGAUUGGAUAACAGAAGAACAUGAUAAUGCAAAGGACUAAAGAUGGUGCAGUGAUGGUAUCUGUGGCCAUUGUUUGGAUUUUUCACGACCAGCUUAAUAAACUAAAAACUUUUCACGUGUCUGGUUUGAAA